rnacentral:rRNA from 1 species
AUACGGAGGAUCCGAGCGUUAUCCGGAUUUAUUGGGUUUAAAGGGUGCGCAGGCGGCCAUUUAAGUCAGCGGUUAAAUCGUGGGGCUCAACCCCAUUCUGCCGUUGAUACUGGGUGGCUUGAUUGCGGUCGAGGUUGGCGGAAUUCGUUGUGUAGCGGUGAAAUGCAUAGAUAUGACGAAGAACACCGAUUGCGUAGGCAGCUGACCAGACCGCAAAUGACGCUCAUGCACGUAAGUGCGGGGAUCGAACAGGAUUAGAUACCCUGGUAGUCCGCACAGUAAACGAUGAAUACUUGUUUUCGGCGAUAUAAUGUCGGAGGCAAAGCGAAAGCGAUAAGUAUUCCACCUGGGGAGUACGCCGGCAACGGUGAAACUUAAAGGAAUUGACGGGG